ensembl:lncRNA
ACCUUCUCUGACAACACACACACACCAGCGCCAUUAGCGCUGCGACGGACACUGAAAUAACCGAAAGCUGAGCAGUCGCUAUGGAUUCCAAGUCCGGCCGACUCCCCUUCGUGUCGAGCUCCCGCUCGUCCUACACCAGCCCUUCCUCCUACUCAGCCUCCUCUUCCUCGCUGAGCUCCAGCAGGCUGUAUGGGCGAGAGAGGUUGCUGAGUAGUGACCGCUUCCCUCGCUCCACCACAUCGCUCAAGCCAGAGCCGGACCUCAAGAUGGAAACCAGCUUGGUGAACCUUUUUGUUUGACGGCAUGGUUCAUUCGUUCACUCCAACCAAAACAAAAGAUUGCCGAUUUCCCCCAGCUUGCGCCGCUGGCUGGUGUUAUUUUUGAGAGAGCAGAUGCAGAAUGAGGUCAAGAUGGAGCUCUGCUUUGUUUGAACGCGGGUUAUACUUCCUUUUUUGAAGCGUUGGCUUUUAGCGCAGUCUUGUUUUUUUUAUCAAUAUUUUUAAGGGUUCUACAGCAGUAACAAACUUUUAGAAAUCCUUGUUGGUUAAAAAGCAACACACUGCUCUCAUAGCCUGUGCCUCAUAAAUUAUUCAUUCAUAAAUGCAUCAUCAAUUUAUCAUCGUUUGAUGUGUGCCCCCAUUUUAGUAUCCCAUUUGCGAUAAAUUGCCGAAGUGAAACUUUUCUAAAUGUUGCUGCCAUUUUAAGUCUGUCCAAAGAGGACAUGUUUCACAACUGCCCCUAGAAGCAGGAAGUGGGUCUCAGUCUAAUGUGUUCCAUCUCCAGGACUCUGUGCGGUUUGCCCUUGCUUGACUGGGGGGGUUAAGGUGUUAAAUGUGUCCUAGAGAACCCCCGGCCCCCUUUGACCGUAAUGGUGAUGAAGAGCUCUGCAUCCCCUUUACCUCGUAAGACGCCAGCAUUGGUUUCUUUCCAGAAGCUUCCAGUCAGAACAUUCCAGAGACCCCAACCCCCCCCCCACCCCAACCCAGUCCCCCCCAGCAACACGUUAGGAAAGCUUAUUAUAGGACAGGCCCGUGUGCGUGUGUGUGCGUUUUACUGCCCUCCUCCCUGGUUCCAGAUCUUUCCAGAAGAGUCCGGUCUCUGUGAAUUCCCCCCAUGUAGGUUGUUGACACUAUGCAAUAAAGACCUGCAACUUGCUCACAUAAUCUCACUCUUAUUAGUACUGCUAGUCAGUUAGUUUGGCAGCACAGUUUUAUCCAGAGCGACGUGCGUGUGAGGCAAAGGACAAUCAGAAUUGGAGUUGCCAAAAAAAAAAAGUGUGUGUGUGUGACCUAGUUUCUAAAAACAACUCUCAGAGUUGCUAUAGGCUUCAGAACACGAGGCUAGUAGAAUAUAUUGAAGUGUGUUGUGUUGGUGCAAUAUUAUAAUUCCAGACUUCUCAGAUCUUCACUGUGUAAAUUGAGGAACGCAAUGCUGUUUAAUUUCAGGAAAUUGGUGUUGGAUGUUAAUAUGGUGUCUUGAUCUGCCAGUGGUAAAGUACCAAUGAUUAUGUUGUCUUGAUCUGCCAGUGGUACAAGUGAAUAGGGUGUCUUGAUCUGACCGUUGUGCAGUAGAAGUGUUCUAACUAAAAUAAAUGGUUGAAAAACUAACAACACAAUGCUAUAGUAUUCCCAUGCAUCCUUUUGUCACACUAUCCCCCAUUUUAAUGAUCCAAGCUGACCCCAACCUUCCGAAUGAUUAACCCAACUUGGGGUGUGUGUGUGUGUGUGUGUGUGUGUGUGUGUGUGUGUGUGUGUGUGUGUGUGUGUGUGUGUGUGUGUGUGUGUGUGUGUGUGUGUGUGUGUGUGUGUGUGUGUGUGUGUGUGUGUGUGUCACAGGGCUCGCGGUACCUGAGCUCCAGCAGAGAGUAUGGCGGGGGGACCGCCUCCACCCGGGCCCCCAGCUGGAAGGUGCCCUCGUCCCUGAGCGCCACCACCUCGUCGUAUGAGAGGCCCUGGGCCAGCCCCUCGCUCCUCAGCCAGGACAAGCUGAGCUCGGAGCGGCGGCUGGGCUCGUACUCCGGCCUGCUGGCCUCUGACGACGGAGAGUCCAAGCGCGCCAAGCUCUCCUACAGCAGCAGCACUGCAGCGUAUCCCCGGAGCAGCCUGGGCUCCUCCACUACCCCCGGGUCCCUGUACUCCAGCAGCAGGCUGACCAGUAGCACAGAUUCUAGUGACCGGACAGACGCCGCUCUCCGGCGCUCCACUGGUCUCUCCGCUGGCCUCUCCUCCUCCAGACCUUCAUCGACCUCCUCCUCCUCCUCAUCGUGGUCUUCCUCGCCCAGCUACCUGUCGGCCCGGCGGGACGCGGAGAGGAGGGCGGAGCUCCGGUCCGAGCUGACGGACGGA